UCAGCCGGUAAAGUAUACGGAUUUCUUGAGAUGCAAGGGCAAGUCGGCUAAAUGAGAAAUUAUUCAGAGAGGUCUCCGUCUCAUUAAAACAGAGAUGUGACGUCAACGGAUGAAUUAUCUUACAUCUCCCUUUUUUUCCGUACCAACUGCCUCUUGGCCGCUCUCCUCACUCGCUCCUCUUUCUCCUGCUCCUCGCGGCAGCGGUGGAAGUUCUCCACCACCACUCCCACGAACAUGUUCAACACGAAGAACCCCACAAGCAGUAUGAACGCGAUGAAGUACAGGAGACGCCAUUCAGAGUAGUUCACUAUUGGCUGUUGGCAAGGAGUUCACUUGUAUGUUUAUAAUUUUUUUAAUAACGUUUUAUCAGUAAAGUGUUUUCGUAAA